CUCAGUUGUUGUAACAAGUUUGGAACAAGCUGUUAACAACUUGUAAGAAGCUUAAUGGCAUUAUCAGUCUUGUUACCAGGUUGUUCUAACAAGUCUGAUACGCUCAUGAUAUAACAAGAAUGUUACAAGGUUGACGACACCAGGUUGUAACAAUAUUGUUCUAUCAUAACUGUAUCAGACUUGUUGGAACAACCUUGCAACAAGCCUAAUAAUAUUAAUAAGGUUAUUACAAGUUGUUAACAGCUUGUUCCAAACUUGUUGACAACUUCGGAC